rnacentral:lncRNA from 1 species
CAUACUAUGUUGUUGUUUUUCAGAUGCAGGUCGGGAGCCAUCUCGUUAGGCGUCUGGACUCUUAAAGCGGAGGGGUUACUUGAUAGUGUUGUUGUACAGUGAUGUAUAUAUAUGUACUUAGCUUUCUCUCCGCAUAACUUGUCCUUUUUGAUCCUCUUAGAAGUUUAUGGAGAGGCAGGAUUGUGUGUAUGUACUUUUGGG